rnacentral:tRNA from 1 species
GGCUCUUUGGUAUCGCGGUUAAAGCUGCAGUUUGGUAUCCUGUAGAUCCGGGUUCGAGGCCCGGUGGGGUGA